rnacentral:rRNA from 1 species
GAUGAACGCUGGCGGCGUGCUUAACACAUGCAAGUCGAGCGAGUGAGUUCUUCGGAACGAUCUAGCGGCGGACGGGUGAGUAACACGUGGGCAACCUGCCUCAUAGAGGGGAAUAGCCUCCCGAAAGGGAGAUUAAUACCGCAUAACAUCGUUGAAGGGCAUCCUUCGAUGAUCAAAGGAGUAAUCCGCUAUGAGAUGGGCCCGCGGCGCAUUAGCUAGUUGGUGAGGUAACGGCUCACCAAGGCGACGAUGCGUAGCCGACCUGAGAGGGUGAUCGGCCACAUUGGGACUGAGACACGGCCCAGACUCCUACGGGAGGCAGGAGUGGGGAAUAUUGCACAAUGGGGGAAACCCUGAUGCAGCAACGCCGCGUGAGUGAUGACGGCCUUCGGGUUGUAAAGCUCUGUCUUUGGGGACGAUAAUGACGGUACCCAAGGAGGAAGCCACGGCUAACUACGUGCCAGCAGCCGCGGUAA